UGACGGUACCUGCAGAAGAAGCACCGGCUAACUACGUGCCAGCAGCCGCGGUAAUACGUAGGGUGCAAGCGUUGUCCGGAAUUAUUGGGCGUAAAGAGCUUGUAGGCGGUUUGUCGCGUCUGCUGUGAAAUUUCGUGGCUCAACCCCGAACUUGCAGUGGGUACGGGCAGACUGGAGUGUGGUAGGGGAGACUGGAAUUCCUGGUGUAGCGGUGAAAUGCGCAGAUAUCAGGAGGAACACCGAUGGCGAAGGCAGGUCUCUGGGCCACUACUGACGCUGAGAAGCGAAAGCAUGGGGAGCGAACAGGAUUAGAUACCCUGGUAGUCCAUGCCGUAAACGGUGGGAACUAGGUGUGGGUCUCAUUCCACGAGAUCCGUGCCGCAGCUAACGCAUUAAGUUCCCCGCCUGGGGAGUACGGCCGCAAGGCUAAAACUCAAAGGAAUUGACGGA
rnacentral:rRNA from 1 species